UGAAACUAACCUCAGCGUUACACUCGUGAAUCAGAUCCGUUCACUUUUCAUUCUAUAUUCAAUUGGGAAAGUAUCGAAGUCAUUCAAAAUGAGUUUUCAGGUCAAUUCUACAGAUUUAAAACCUGACACAGAAAUAAAAGAAUCUGUGUCAACAGCAGAAGAAGAGUUCAAGAGCAGCACUGAAGAGACAGAAAGAAAACUCGUUCCUGAAGAUGAAGAUGGUGACAAAUCUUCAGAUGCAGGCUCGUCACAGGGAUCACUCGGUGAAUUCACUCCUUUUUACUUGCGCCGUGAUUCUUCACCAAUU